rnacentral:rRNA from 1 species
GACGAACGCUGGCGGCGUGCUUAACACAUGCAGGUCGAACGGAAAGGCCCUGCUUUUGUGGGGUGCUCGAGUGGCGAGCGGGUGAGUAACACGUGAGUAACCUGCCCUUGACUUUGGGAUAACUUCAGGAAACUGGGGCUAAUACCGGAUAGGCGCUCCUGCUGCAUGGUGGGGGUUGGAAAGUUUCGGCGGUUGGGGAUGGACUCGCGGCUUAUCAGUUUGUUGGUGGGGUAGUGGCUUACCAAGGCCGUGACGGGUAGCCGGCCUGGGAGGGUGACCGGCCACAUUGGGACUGAGAUACGGCCCAUACUCCUACGGGAGGCAGCAGGGGGGAAUAUUGCACAAUGGGCGGAAGCCUGAGGCAGAAACGCCGCGUGCGGGAUGACGGCCUUCGGGUUGUAAACCGCGUUCGCCUGUGACGAAGCGUGAGUGACGGUAAUGGGUAAAGAAGCAACGGCUAACUACGUG